CAAGGAAUUUUGCGCAAUGGGCGAAAGCCUGACGCAGCAACGCCGCGUGAGGGAUGAAGGCCUUCGGGUCGUAAACCUCUUUUGUCAGGGACGAAUAAUGACGGUACCUGGCGAAUAAGCUUCGGCUAACUACGUGCCAGCAGCCGCGGUAAUACGUAGGAAGCAAGCGUUAUCCGGAUUUACUGGGCGUAAAGUGAGCGUAGGUGGCCUUUCAAGUCGGAUGUGAAAUCUCCUGGCUUAACUGGGAGGAGUCAUUCGAUACUGUUGGGCUAGAGGACAUCAAGGGAAGGUGGAAUUCCGGGUGUAGUGGUGAAAUGCGUAGAUAUCCGGAGGAACACCAGUGGCGAAGGCGGCCUUCUGGGAUGUUUCUGACACUGAGGCUCGAAAGUGUGGGGAGCGAACAGG
rnacentral:rRNA from 1 species